GAGCUUUGGUACACAUGCAAGUUUCUUUUUUUUGAAGAGUGGAUUCAGAAAGAGAACAGUAUUGUACAAAAUAAAAAUAAUAAUAAUUACAGUUUUUUUUUGCAAAAUUCACUUUUUUUUUGUAGCACCUCUGGUGUUCUGUGUUCCGCACAAAAGCACCUCUGUGGUUGUAUCUGGAGCAACACUGGAGCCACGGAGGCUGGGCUGGGGGAGGGACGAGGAGACUGGAGCUACCAGACAGGGAAGCUGGGGGAGGGACGAGGAGACUGGAGCUACCAGACAGGGAAGCUGGGGGAGGGACGAGGAGACUGGAGCUACCAGACAGGGAAGCUGGGGGAGGGACGAGGAGACUGGAGCUACCAGACAGGGAAGCUGGGGGAGGGACGAGGAGACUGGAGCUACCAGACAGGGAGGCUGGGCUGGGGGAGGGACGAGGAGACUGGAACUACCAGACAGGGAGGCUGGGCUGGGGGAGGGACGAGGAGACUGGAGCUACCAGACAGGGAGGCUGGGCUGGCGGAGGGACGAGGAGACUGGAACUACCAGACAGGGAGGCUGGGUUGGGGGAGGGACGAGGAGACUGGAGCUACCAGACAGGGAGGCUGGGCUGGGGGAGGGACGAGGAGACUGGAGCUACCAGACAGGGAAGCUGGGGGAGGGACGAGGAGACUGGAGCUACCAGACAGGGAAGCUGGGGCAGGGACGAGGAGACUGGAGCUACCAGACAGGGAGGCUGGGCUGGGGGAGGGACGAGGAGACUGGAACUACCAGACAGGGAGGCUGGGCUGGGGGAGGGACGAGGAGACUGGAGCUAUCAGACAGGGAGGCUGGGCUGGCGGAGGGACGAGGAGACUGGAACUACCAGACAGGGAGGCUGGGCUGGGGGAGGGACGAGGAGACUGGAGCUACCAGACAGGGAAGCUGGGGGAGGGACGAGGAGACUGGAACUACCAGACAGGGAGGCUGGGCUGGGGGAGGGACGAGGAGACUGGAGCUACCAGACAGGGAGGCUGGGCUGGGGGAGGGACGAGGAGACUGGAGCUACCAGACAGGGAGGCUGGGCUGGGGGAGGGACGAGGAGACUGGAGCUACCAGACAGGGAAGAUGGGGGAGGGACGAGGAGACUGGAGCUACCAGACAGGGAGGCUGGGCUGGGGGAGGGACGAGGAGACUGGAGCUACCAGACAGGGAGGAUGGGCUGGGGGAGGGACGAGGAGACUGGAGCUACCAGACAGGGAGGCUGGGCUGGGGGAGGGACGAGGAGACUGGAGCUACCAGACAGGGAGGCUGGGCUGGGGGAGGGACGAGGGGACUGGAGCUACCAGACAGGGAGGCUGGGCUGGAGGAGGGGCGAGGAGACUGGAGCUACCAGACAGGGAGACUGGGCUGGGGGAGGGACGAGACAGGGUAGGAAGAGUGGUUGGAGGGAAAAGGGGUAAGGACGAGGGGUGA
rnacentral:lncRNA from 1 species